rnacentral:rRNA from 1 species
AGCUUGCUCUUAUGAAGUUAGCGGCGGACGGGUGAGUAACACGUGGGUAACCUGCCCAUAAGACUGGGAUAACUCCGGGAAACCGGGGCUAAUACCGGAUAACAUUUUGCACCGCAUGGUGCGAAAUUCAAAGGCGGCUUCGGCUGUCACUUAUGGAUGGACCCGCGUCGCAUUAGCUAGUUGGUGAGGUAACGGCUCACCAAGGCAACGAUGCGUAGCCGACCUGAGAGGGUGAUCGGCCACACUGGGACUGAGACACGGCCCAGACUCCUACGGGAGGCAGCAGUAGGGAAUCUUCCGCAAUGGACGAAAGUCUGACGGAGCAACGCCGCGUGAGUGAUGAAGGCUUUCGGGUCGUAAAACUCUGUUGUUAGGGAAGAACAAGUGCUAGUUGAAUAAGCUGGCACCUUGACGGUACCUAACCAGAAAGCCACGGCUAACUACGUGCCAGCAGCCGCGGUAAUACGUAGGUGGCAAGCGUUAUCCGGAAUUAUUGGGCGUAAAGCGCGCGCAGGUGGUUUCUUAAGUCUGAUGUGAAAGCCCACGGCUCAACCGUGGAGGGUCAUUGGAAACUGGGAGACUUGAGUGCAGAAGAGGAAAGUGGAAUUCCAUGUGUAGCGGUGAAAUGCGUAGAGAUAUGGAGGA